AUAUCAAUAAGCGGAGGAAAAGAAACUAACAAGGAUUCCCCUAGUAACUGCGAGUGAAGCGGGAAAAGCUCAAAUUUAAAAUCUGUCAGUCUUUGGCUGUCCGAGUUGUAAUCUAGAGAAGUGUUAUCCGCGCUGGACCGUGUACAAGUCUCCUGGAAUGGAGCGUCAUAGAGGGUGAGAAUCCCGUCUUUGACACGGACUGCCAGGGCUUUGUGAUGCGCUCUCAAAGAGUCGAGUUGUUUGGGAAUGCAGCUCAAAAUGGGUGGUAAAUUCCAUCUAAAGCUAAAUAUUGGCGAGAGACCGAUAGCGAACAAGUACCGUGAGGGAAAGAUGAAAAGAACUUUGGAAAGAGAGUUAAACAGUACGUGAAAUUGCUGAAAGGGAAACGCUUGAAGUCAGUCGCGUUGACCAGGGAUCAACCCUUGCUUUUGCUUGGUGUACUUUCUGGUUGACGGGUCAGCAUCAAUUUUGACUAUUGGAAAAAGAUCAGGGGAAUGUGGCAUCUUUGGAUGUGUUAUAGCCUCUGGUUGUAUACAAUGGUUGGGAUUGAGGAACUCAGCACGCGCCGCAAGGCCGGGUUUUUAACCACGUACGUGCUUAGGAUGCUGGCAUAAUGGCUUUAAUCGACCCGUCUUGAAACACGGACCAAGGAGUCUAACAUGCCUGCAAGUGUUUGGGUGGAAAACCCGAGCGCGUAAUGAAAGUGAAAGUUGAGAUCCCUGUCGUGGGGAGCAUCGACGCCCGGACCAGAUCUUUUGUGACGGUUCCGCGGUAGAGCAUGUAUGUUGGGACCCGAAAGAUGGUGAACUAUGCCUGAAUAGGGUGAAGCCAGAGGAAACUCUGGUGGAGGCUCGUAGCGAUUCUGACGUGCAAAUCGAUCGUCAAAUUUGGGUAUAGGGGCGAAAGACUAAUCGAACCAUCUAGUAGCUGGUUCCUG
rnacentral:rRNA from 1 species